rnacentral:rRNA from 1 species
UGGGGAAUUUUGGACAAUGGGCGAAAGCCUGAUCCAGCAAUGCCGCGUGUGUGAAGAAGGCCUUCGGGUUGUAAAGCACUUUUGUCCGGAAAGAAAUCCUUGGCUCUAAUACAGUCGGGGGAUGACGGUACCGGAAGAAUAAGCACCGGCUAACUACGUGCCAGCAGCCGCGGUAAUACGUAGGGUGCAAGCGUUAAUCGGAAUUACUGGGCGUAAAGCGUGCGCAGGCGGUUUGCUAAGACCGAUGUGAAAUCCCCGGGCUCAACCUGGGAACUGCAUUGGUGACUGGCAGGCUAGAGUAUGGCAGAGGGGGGUAGAAUUCCACGUGUAGCAGUGAAAUGCGUAGAGAUGUGGAGGAAUACCGAUGGCGAAGGCAGCCCCCUGGGCCAAUACUGACGCUCAUGCCACGAAAGCGUGGGGAGCAAACAGGAUUAGAUACCCUGGUAGUCCACGCCCUAAACGAUGUCAACUAGUUGUUGGGGAUUCAUUUCCUUAGUAACGUAGCUAACGCGUGAAGUUGACCGCCUGGGGAGUACGGUCGCAAGAUUAAAACUCAAAUGAAUUGACGGGGUCC